GUUGGUGUGGUGAUGAAGCUAUUUGUGGACUAGAGUUUCUGACUCUGGGUAACCCAGAAGUUGAAGACAAACCCUUGGCUGUCUGAGCACGCUU